AACGCACGGCAGAGAGAGAGAGGAGCCGAGAGAAAGAGAGUGAGAGAGAGGAAUCCAACUUUUAUGCUGUAAGGAACUUUGGGGAAGUGAAUUUAUGAGAUCUGAGUGAAGAUAAAGGAGAGGACUCAAAGAGCUAAAAAGAAAUUCAGCCAUGGGAAGUUAAAGGAUUUACACUGUCCGCUUGAACGAGGGAAGUCUCGCUAGAGCGUGAAAAUCGAGCUCCCAGUAGUUUUUCAAAUUUUACAGUCCGCUCGAGCGACCAAAGUGGCGCUCGAGCGGAGACUUAUUUUCAGCAUAUUUUGAAAAUUUCAUUUAGUUCACAUUUUUAUUCUCAUCUCUUCCCAAGGCAUUCUAGACUGUGUAUAUGUUAUGUGCUUGUGUAGGUCACCUGCCAUUGUCUGUCUGAUUUAUCUGAUAUGUGCAGUCUGUCUGAUUUGCUUCUGCAACCAUCUGUAAUCAGGCGCGUGACCAGGGUUAGAGGCUUCUGCCUAGAAUCUGUUUUGUCAGCCAACCUAUGUGCCUCCCGUAGAGGUUCCGGAUAUGUCAAGUGACCAUUGUUAUGUGACUUAAAGUUUAAGUUUUAUUUUCGUGUAUUUUGUGAAUGGGAUUAAGUCCUUUUUGUCUAAUCUGUGUAUAUAUGACGACUGAAAGAUAAUGUCUACAUAUGUAUAUAAAAAGUUUAAAAUU